GGCCAGAUGGCGGAACUGGUAUACGCGCAAGACUUAAAAUCUUGUGGGUGUAAAAUCACCCGUGAGGGUUCGAUCCCCUCUCUGGCCA
rnacentral:tRNA from 1 species